rnacentral:lncRNA from 1 species
AUUACAUUAAUAAAUGUACCUGAUACUAUCUAGAAAAACUACCUUAUCAAUUUCAGAUAGGUAAAACAGAGGCAAAAAUUCCCGAAAGGAUAUUCAAACCCAUUAGACAAAAAUAAACCGACAACACCAUAACAAAGUACGAAAAAGACCAAACAAACGUACAACUGUGCACACAACACAACAUAGUAAACAAAAACAGAGCCCUAAGUACCCUACAGAAUACCA